CGGGGUGCAGCAGGCGCGAAAACUUUACAAUGCUGGCAACAGCGAUAAGGGGACCUCGAGUGCCAGGAUACAAUCCUGGCUGUCGUAAUGCCUAAAAAGCAUUGCAUAGCAAGGGCCGGGCAAGACCGGUGCCAGCCGCCGCGGUAACACCGGCGGCUCGAAUGGUAACCGCUAUUAUUGGGUCUAAAGGGUCUGUAGCCGGCUGACUAAGUCUCUUGGGAAAUCUGGCAGCUCAACUGUCAGGCUUUCAGGAGAUACUGAUCGGCUCGAGACCGGGAGAGGUGAGAGGUACCUCAGGGGUAGGGGUGAAAUCUUGUAAUCCUUGAGGGACCACCAGUGGCGAAGGCGUCUCACCAGAACGGAUCUGACGGCAAGGGACGAAAGCUAGGGGCACGAACCGGAUUAGAUACCCGGGUAGUCCUAGCCGUAAACGAUACUCGCUAGGUGUCGGCCACGGUGCGACCGUGGUCGGUGCCGUAGGGAAGCCGUGAAGCGAGCCACCUGGGAAGUACGGCCGCAAGGCUGAAACUUAAAGGAAUGGC
rnacentral:rRNA from 1 species